rnacentral:rRNA from 1 species
AUUGCACGCUGGCGGCAGGCUUAACACAUGCAAGUCGAGCGAGCGGCGGACGGGUGUAUAAUGUCUGGGAACCUGCCUGACGGCGGGGGAUAACUACUGGAAACGUUCGCUAAUACCGCAUACCAUCAGAUGUGCCCAGAUGGGAUUGGCUAGUAGGUGGGGUAAUGGCUCACCUAGGGGACGAUCCCUAGCUGGUCUGAGAGGAUGACCCGCCACACUGGAACUGAGACACGGUCCAGACUCCUACGGGAGGCAGCAGUGGGGAAUAUUGGACAAUGGGCGCAAGCCUGAUGCAGCCAUGCCGCGUGUGUGAAGAAGGCCUUCGGGUUGUAAAGCACUUUCAGCGAGGAGGCGUUACUCGCAGAAGAAGCACCGGCUAACUCCGGGCCAGCAGCCGCGGUAAUAC